ensembl:snoRNA SNORD116 Small nucleolar RNA SNORD116
GGAUCGAUGAAGCUACCCAAACAUGUGUUCCUUGGAGAACUGAACAAAGUGAGUCUGGAAUCCCGUCCAUCUGCUCUCCUUGCACGCAGGUCC